GCGAUUUAUUUUCAUAUGUUAUAUGGUGAUCUACAACAUCAUCAUUAACAAUUUGAGCAGAGCCACAUUUUUCUGGAACCCUAAGCGCCGCAUUCGAAUAGAGAAGAAACAGGAGGUUGCAAAUUAACUACUUCAACCAAAUUGAAC